AUGCUGUUCACCGUGCUGACGUUGACGUUGGACGAGUCUGGGGGCGGCCUGCAGACGCCCGGAGGGGGGCUGAGCCUCGUCUGCAAGGCCUCCGGAUUCACCUUCAGCAGUUACAACAUGCAGUGGGUCCGACAGGCGCCCAGCAAGGAGCUGGAGUGGGUCGCAGGUAUUGAGGAUGAUGGUAGUUACACAUACUACGCGUCGGCGGUGGAGGGCCGUGCAACCAUCUCGAGGGACAACGAUCAGAGCACGGUGACCCUGCAGCUGGACGACCUGACGACCGACGACACCGCCACCUAUUACUGCGCGAGAGGUUAUGGCGGUGGCUGCGACGCUGCUGCUCAAGAUAUCGACGCCGACCUUGAUUUGGUGCCCACUGAGGCAUGGCGGUGUCCAGGCGCGGUGCUGUGA